UGAUGCCUACGGGACGCAGCAGUGAGGAAUAUUGGUCAAUGGGCGCGAGCCUGAACCAGCCAAGUCGCGUGAGGGAAGACGGUCCUAUGGAUUGUAAACCUCUUUUGUCGGGGAGCAAAGGACGCCACGCGUGGCGUUCCGAGAGUACCCGAAGAAAAAGCAUCGGCUAACUCCGUGCCAGCAGCCGCGGUAAUACGGAGGAUGCGAGCGUUAUCCGGAUUUAUUGGGUUUAAAGGGUGCGCAGGCGGAAGAUCAAGUCAGCGGUAAAAUUGAGAGGCUCAACCUCUUCGAGCCGUUGAAACUGG
rnacentral:rRNA from 1 species